rnacentral:rRNA from 1 species
GAUGAACGCUGGCGGCAUGCCUAAUACAUGCAAGUCGAACGAGAGGAAGGAAAGCUUGCUUUUCUGAAUCUAGUGGCGAACGGGUGAGUAACACGUAGGUAACCUGCCCAUGUGCCCGGGAUAACUUCUGGAAACGGAUGCUAAAACCGGAUAGGUAGCAGACAAGCAUUUGACUGCUAUUAAAGUGGCUAAGGCCAUGAACAUGGAUGGACCUGCGGUGCAUUAGCUAGUUGGUGAGGUAACGGCCCACCAAGGCGACGAUGCAUAGACGGCCUGAGAGGGCGGACGGCCACAUUGGGACUGCGACACGGCCCAAACUCCUACGGGAGGCAGCAGUAGGGAAUUUUCGUCAAUGGGGGGAACCCUGAACGAGCAAUGCCGCGUGAGUGAGGAAGGUCUUCGGAUCGUAAAGCUCUGUUGUAAGAGAAAAACGACAUUCAUAGGGAAUGAUGAGUGAGUGAUGGUAUCUUACCAGAAAGUCACGGCUAACUACGUGCCAGCAGCCGCCGUAA